UACGAAGGGGGCUAGCGUUGUUCGCAAUUACUGGGCGUAAAGCGCACGUAGGCGGAUCUUUAAGUCAGGGGUGAAAUCCCGGGGCUCAACCUCGGAACUGCCUUUGAUACAGCACGUCUCGAGUCCGGAAGAGGUGGGUGGAAUUCCUAGUGUAGAGGUGAAAUUCGUAGAUAUUAGGAAGAACACCGGUGGCGAAGGCGGCCCACUGGUCCGGUACUGACGCUGAGGUGCGAAAGCGUGGGGAGCAAACAGG
rnacentral:rRNA from 1 species